rnacentral:rRNA from 1 species
UGGGGAAUUUUGGACAAUGGGCGAAAGCCUGAUCCAGCAAUGCCGCGUGUGUGAAGAAGGCCUUCGGGUUGUAAAGCACUUUUGUCCGGAAAGAAAUCCUUGGCUCUAAUACAGUCGGGGGAUGACGGUACCGGAAGAAUAAGCACCGGCUAACUACGUGCCAGCAGCCGCGGUAAUACGUAGGGUGCAAGCGUUAAUCGGAAUUACUGGGCGUAAAGCGUGCGCAGGCGGUUUGCUAAGACCGAUGUGAAAUCCCCGGGCUCAACCUGGGAACUGCAUUGGUGACUGGCAGGCUAGAGUAUGGCAGAGGGGGGUAGAAUUCCACGUGUAGCGGUGAAAUGCGUAGAGAUGUGGAGGAAUACCGAUGGCGAAGGCAGCCCCCUGGGCCAAUACUGACGCUCAUGCACGAAAGCGUGGGGAGCAAACAGGAUUAGAUACCCUGGUAGUCCACGCCCUAAACGAUGUCAACUAGUUGUUGGGGAUUCAUUUCCUUAGUAACGUAGCUAACGCGUGAAGUUGACCGCCUGGGGAGUACGUCGCAAGAUUAAAACUUAAAUGAAUUGACGGGGUCAUAGCUGUUUCCU